rnacentral:lncRNA from 1 species
UAGGAUUGAAUCUUUGAGAACACCGCUCAUGUGCAAUACCCGACCGACAUUUCGCACACUACACGAAACCAAGCGUUCUGUUUCGCUUCUGACACAAAGGUUUACACGUUGGAUGGUAAGCAGGGAUGUAAAUUUUGCCGGCGCGAUAUGUUUUCCUCUUCCGGAACGCCCCACGAGUACGAAGGGUCUAUCACAGAUGGAUGCAUUCCAUUCAUAGAUAAGCGCUCCGAUGCCACCGACACCACCGGUGUAAAUGUCGCUGCACGGGUGUAGAAGCGCAUUAGAGUCGCACUGUGCGAUGUGCUUUGCCAUCGCUCGACGUGGGUCUCGCCACAACAUUUUUGCGUGUAAAUUCGGACAGACCUUCGAUAACGUCGGCGUGCGGACAUGGCGAUUCGAUAUUGAUUUGGCAUGCACCUCGUUCGAAUCAGAAUUUGAAUGAAGAAAGUCGGUUGCUUUUGCGUGCACAAUACUUGAUGCGCCCAAAUCAACGCACACUAAACGCUGUGACAUCUCAUGUGCGCCACUCCUGAAGAUACCCCACAUGGCACCAGCGACCGGAAUACAUCGACCGAUAGAGCUCUGCGUGUCAGCACAUAGGCGUGGACAGGCUGACACCAGCUCUGUUGCUGUCGUGCGAAUCACGCAUAGAUUGGAACUUGCAUGUAAACUCUGCACGGCAAGAGAAGCCACGCGUGAUGCACUUUGCCUCCCCGCAGCUAAAUGCGAGUAUACGUUCGUGACACCUUCUGUACGGAGAAGCGGUCCUCUGUAUGUGUUCUCGGUUUUCCACGUGGCGCGAUAUAUCAUAUCGAUGGCGUGUCUUCCUUGCCUCCCACCAUAAUAGCGCUCUGAUCCCAUCGCUGCAGGCUCUGAGUGAGACGCAACCUUUUUGCCCAGUAGUUCGUGCAUCGCAAGUUGAUUUUCCGUCGCUUGCUGUGCUAUAUGGUCACUCUGCAUCUUUUGCGGCGAGAAGCGUGAUAGUGCGUGGUCUCGGGACCGUGCCAACGAAGUUUGGUGUGUGCAGAUUUCGAGACUCACUGGCAAGUGCAAUUCAAAGCUAUCAUCACUGAAAGUAUUUAGCCUGAGAGCUGAUAAGCUCUGCACGUGCGCAUCGAGCUCUGCGGCAAACGACUGAUCUAGUGUUUGCACCUUUUUACUAUGAACUUUGAAGUGCAAAUCAAGGCUGGAUUUGGAGACGUUUGCGUAAUACACUUUCGGCGAUGGAGUUCGUUGCGUGAGCAUGGUCUGCACUACUUUACAAGACGUGUGCCCUGCUCGUUGUGACGAUACGGAAAUACUGCCGGUAGUUUGCGAUAUUUUGAACGAUAAUGCAUCGUUGCGCCAAGUAUCCAACAAACAGGCAGCAUGUAUUUGCGUGCGACGCACCACGUUAACAGUCAUUGUGUGGAGUUGCUUUACACAAGUGAGGGUCAGCUCCAGAAAGCUGGUAGCGGGGAGAACCAAGCGGCCACGAACGCAGUGAUCGCGAUCUAUAUGUCGUGUUUUUAAUGGUGGGAGUUGAAUCCGUAGGCAUUCGCUCGUCUCGACUGCGUGCACGAGCCGCAGGCCAAAGGCAGCAUGUGAUAUCCAACACUCGAUGCUGUGUUGCAUGACAGAAGCAUCUGGCAAGUAUUUCAUCACGUAAUCGCGUCGAACAGAUACGUGUGCGUUCGUUCCUUGAAAUGCAAACGCGCUCACUCCUCGGUUUACGGCGUGUGCAUCACAUUGCCACGCACUUUGCGUUGCCUGGCGUGGAAGAGCGAUUCCGCAUCGCUCAGCCGUAUCUUGAUUCAGAAUACUCUGAAUGUGGGUGCUGAGCUGGCAUAGGUGCACGAGCGCAGGAGUGUUCAAGCGAAAUAUGCAAUCAACAAUGCCACACAGACCCAUACCGCCCGAAGCUGGCUCGGUGUGUCCGCAGCGAGUCUUCAUUGCUGAAAAAGUAACGACUGGCAAUCUUUUGAGGCUGCUAAGUACGGUGCGCGCUGCGCCAACUUCUAUAGGAUCCCCCAGAGACGUGCCAGUACCAUGAAGCUCUAUACCACCAGAAGAGCUGUUAUCAUUACCAGACUGGAGCAUGGUGUGCAAAAUCACGCUCUGCUGCGAUGGGCCAUGGGGGGCUGUGAGAGAGCUUGAGCGUCCAUCUUGGUUGACAGAAGAUGCAGAAGCGUAAAACAUGCAGUAGUCGUCGCGCACGCCGUCGCUGUGCGGUGUCAAGAGCAGCAACGUUGAUCCUUCUCCUCGAACGUAGCCGUUUGCAGCCAUGUCCAGAGUCUUACAUCGCCCAUCAUCUGCCAGCAUCCCCGCAGUUCUAAAAACAAUAGUCGUCGUCGGGUUCAGGGUGAUGUUCACGCCGCAACAUAUCAUGCUGUCGCAUUCUCCCGUGAGCACUGCGUUACGCGCUACAUGUGAUCCAACUAAAGACGACGAGCACGCUGUGUCGAUGCUUGCACACGUUCCGCGCAGAUUGUAUGUGAAAGAAAUCCGUCCACACGCAACACUGAGUGAGCCACCAGUUGCUUGAAGCUUGCCGGCACGAGAGGUGAUCGCGCUGUAAUCAGUGCUAGAUAUACCGACAACAACGCCACAUCCCUCGCUAUAUUGGCCGUUUACUGCAUGUGCGCGCCCAUCUAAGGCGCGCGCUAGAAGGAUGCGCUGCUGUGGGUCCACGGCAGUAGCUUCUGCACGUCGCAUUGAAAACAGGGCAAUAUCAAAAUAUUCAAUGUUAUGGAGAAAUCUACCAAACCGUAUCAGGGCGUAAUCGUCGGCUCUAAUAUCCCACCGAUUUUCAGGCACACCACUUACGUCAUCCAGUGCGUGCUGAUACUGCCCGGGGCUGCUGACUGAUGAUAUGCACACUUGAGCUGAGUACGUGACAUCAAUAGUACUAUUACGGAGCACCUGUGCACUUCCGUAAUUCGAUUUUCCAUGCGACAGUUCACCCGCCACGGCUUCUGCAAGUGCAUAUACGCUAGGAUGAUCAAAUACAACCGUCGACGGGAGCUGCACAGCGAAUUCAUCGUUCAGUCUGCUUCGCAAUUCAACGGCGCCGAGUGAGUCAAGACCCGCAUCCAACAGUGGCUCCUUUGCAUCCAAUGGUCUACCAACCGCAUCAUUCACUAUACUCGCUACACGUCCCGCAAUUUCGUCGCCGUGGAUCACGCAUGAUGGUACGCCACGUUCUCCGGCUGAUAUCUUGAUCUUGAGUUGUGUGCUAUUUUGAUCGACGUAUGGUGCAUUUGGCGGGGAAACCGCACUGUGUGAUGUAGAUACACUCCAUGCAUGUAAGCCGGUUGCACGCAGUGGGCAAACGGCGUAGAUUGAGAACAUAUUUGGAGGUUGAAUGAGAGUGCGUAGCGUUCUCAGCGCAGUGUGUGGGUCAAUCACUUCUAUCCCUAGAGAUCCAAAGUUUCUGGGUGUACCCACUGCAGAACGCACAGCCAUGCCAUAGGAUCCACCCCAGGGUCCCCACUGGAGACUCAUGCACCGCCAUCCCAUCGUCGUGCCGAGUUGAGCGAGUGUGUCGAGCAGUGCGUUAGCACCUGCAUAGUUAGUUUGACCCGGCGAGCCGAGCAAUGCAGCUAUGGACGAGAAGAAAACAUGUGUCAAAGACAUUUGAGGGAGAUUUUCAUGACACACCGCUUGUGCACCUUGUGUUUUGUUUGCAAACGCAAUCGAGACUGUGGAAAACGUUUGCUUCAUUAGGAUUGAAUCUUUGAGAACACCGCUCAUGUGCAAUACCCGACCGACAUUUCGCACACUACACGAAACCAAGCGUUCUGUUUCGCUUCUGACACAAAGGUUUACACGUUGGAUGGUAAGCAGGGAUGUAAAUUUUGCCGGCGCGAUAUGUUUUCCUCUUCCGGAACGCCCCACGAGUACGAAGGGUCUAUCACAGAUG